AGAACGAACGCUGGCGGCAUGCCUAAUACAUGCAAGUCGAACGAACACUUCGGUGUUAGUGGCGCACGGGUGCGUAACGCGUGGGAAUCUGCCCUUGGGUUCGGAAUAACAGUUGGAAACGACUGCUAAUACCGGAUGAUAUCGAAAGGUCAAAGAUUUAUCGCCCAGGGAUGAGCCCGCGUAGGAUUAGCUAGUUGGUGAGGUAAAGGCUCACCAAGGCGACGAUCCUUAGCUGGUCUAGAGAGGAUGAUCAGCCA
rnacentral:rRNA from 1 species